AACGAACGCUGGCGGCAUGCCUAACACAUGCAAGUCGAACGAAGCCUUCGGGCUUAGUGGCGCACGGGUGCGUAACGCGUGGGAAUCUGCCCUUGGUUCGGAAUAACAGUUAGAAAUGACUGCUAAUACCGGAUAAUGUCUUCGGACCAAAGAUUUAUCGCCCAGGGAUGAGCCCGCGUAGGAUUAGCUAGUUGGUGAGGUAAAGGCUCACCAAGGCGACGAUCCUUAGCUGGUCUGAGAGGAUGAUCAGCCACACUGGGACUGAGACACGGCCCAGACUCCUACGGGAGGCAGCAGUGGGGAAUAUUGGACAAUGGGCGAAAGCCUGAUCCAGCAAUGCCGCGUGAGUGAUGAAGGCCUUAGGGUUGUAAAGCUCUUUUACCCGGGAUGAUAAUGACAGUACCGGGAGAAUAAGCCCCGGCUAACUCCGUGCCAGCAGCCGCGGUAAU
rnacentral:rRNA from 1 species